UACGUAGGGGGGCUAGCGUUGUCCGGAAUCAUUGGGCGUAAAGAGCGUGUAGGCGGCCCGGUAAAGUCCGCUGUAAAAAGUCAAAGGCUCAACCUUUAAUGUCAGUGGAUACUGCCGGGCUAGAGUCCGGAAGAGGCGAGUGGAACUCCUGGUGUAGCGGGUGGAAAUGCGCAGAUAUCAGGAAGAACACCAACGGCGAAAGGCAGCUCUAGGGACGGUACUGACGCUG
rnacentral:rRNA from 1 species